UUGGAAACAUGGUUGAUGUGUCGUUCUCAGACAGAAGCAAUGUUACCAAUAUUGUGAAGCAAGCAGAGGAGUGGCUGAGGAGGAAUGAUAGAUCAGGGCUUCCAGGAAAGUAUAGGGUAUGACUCUACCAACAUGAACUGCUUCCUAGA